rnacentral:rRNA from 1 species
AUUGAACGCUGGCGGCAUGCCUUACACAUGCAAGUCGAACGGCAGCACGGGUGCUUGCACCUGGUGGCGAGUGGUGAACGGGUGAGUAAUACAUCGGAACGUACCUUAUCGUGGGGGAUAACGCAGCGAAAGCUGUGCUAAUACCGCAUACGCCCUGAGGGGGAAAGCGGGGGAUCGCAAGACCUCGCGCGAUUAGAGCGGCCGAUGCCUGAUUAGCUUGUUGGGGGGGUAAAAGCCCACCAAGGCGACGAUCAGUAGCUGGUCUGAGAGGACGAUCAGCCGCACUGGGACUGAGACACGGCCCAGACUCCUACGGGAGGCAGCAGUGGGGAAUUUUGGACAAUGGGGGCAACCCUGAUCCAGCAAUGCCGCGUGAGUGAAGAAGGCCUUCGGGUUGUAAAGCUCUUUUGUCAGGGAAGAAACACCGGCUCUAACACAGUCCGGGAAUGACGGUACCUGAAGAAUAAGCACCGGCUAACUACGUGCCAGCAGCCGCCGCCG